rnacentral:sRNA from 1 species
GAUUUUGUAGAUGACGCUAUGAAACGAAUUUUUUUUAUAUAGUAAUCAUACGCGUGCAACGCGCGCCAAUGAAAUAUAAAUUAAAUCAAAUAUGUUACACGUAUUCAGUACCCUAAUUUGUUUUUUAAUAGGUUAAUUAGUAUGGUCUAUAUUUAGUAUUAUAUAUACUUGGACUUACUCCCCCGUCACUAAAUAUAAGGGAUUUUGGUUGGAUGUGACAUAUCCAAAUACAACGAAU